rnacentral:lncRNA from 1 species
UGACAGAAGAUACACUUGGAAUGCUCAUAGAAGCCAAAAAAAAAGGAGUAGUUUCCACACUCCAAGCAGCACUUCAGCUGUGUCCUGUGAAAUAUUUUACAGUAUCCCUGGUCAGCUUCUGUUAUGUUUUGGAUAUGUGAUAUCUUCCAAAAUCUCAUGUGUGAGACAUCGCAAAAAAUGUUUAGAGGUAAAACAAAUAGAUUUGAAAGCCUUAACCUAAUCAAUGUAUUAGUCUGUUUGAAUGGAUUAACUAGGUGGUAACAAUAGGCAGGUAGUAUGUGGCUAGAGGAGGUAAGUCAUUGGGAGCAAGCCUUUGGAGUAUAGAUUUUGCCUAUGGUGAGUGGUGCUCUCUACUUUCUGGUGCCAUGUCCUGAGCCACUUUCUUCCACCACACUCUUCCAUCAUAAUGAUCUGCCUCACCUUGGGCCCAGAGCAAUGGAGCCUGCUGCAUAUGGACUGAGACCUCUGAAACUGUGAGCCUUAAAUAAACUUUUCCUCCUCUAAAAUUGUUCUUAUCAGGUCUUUUGAUCCCAGCAGAAGAAAAGCUGACUAAAACAGCUUCCUUUGUCAUAUCUCACAGAAAAUGAUUCCAACUCUUCACAAUCUUUAUGCCACCAAGCUAUUGCUAUUCUUCUUUUCUUACUUCAUGAAGAGUAUUAAGAUCACCUAGUAUUCCCUGAACUUCCCACACCCAUACUUACUUACUUGUCUAUAGUCCCCCAUAACUUCUUUCCUACAGUCUAAGAAAAUGAUGAACACCAUGUUGGUGCUAGUCUGUUUGUACUGUUAUACCAUUACAUUCAUCUUUGUUGGGAUCUUAUUCCAGAAAAACAAAAUAUAUACCUAUACCUCCUGUAUUUUACCUUCUUGCCCAUCUCCCCCCAGCUUUUUAUUUUUAUAAUUUGCAAGUACAAUGGCUGAAAGAAUACUACAGUGAUACAGCAUCUAAUCAAUUAUGUUUAAAUUCUGCCUUUUCUAUAUGCUUAUUUCCCCCUCCCUCUCCCUCUCCCUCCCUCUCUGUGUCUGUGUGUGUACACACAUAUACAUAUAUGUGUAUAUGUUUUUGCUGGUCUGUUUAAAGAUAAGCUACAGCUCUCCUGGAUCACAAGUUUGAUCUGAUGUAUGCCAAAUGUGCUUUUG